rnacentral:rRNA from 1 species
CAGGCGAUACGGNCACGACUAGAGUGCUGUAGGGGUAACUGGAAUUCCUGGUGUAGCGGUGAAAUGCACAGAUAUCAGGAGGAACACCGAUGGCGAAGGCAGGUUACUGGGCAGUUACUGACGCUGAGGAGCGAAAGCAUGGGGAGCGAACAGGAUUAGAUACCCUGGUAGUCCAUGCUGUAAACGGUGGGCGCUAGGUGUGGGCUGUGUGUUUGCAGUCUGUGCCGUAGCUAACGCAUUAAGCGCCCCGCCUGGGGAGUACGGCCGCAAGGCUAAAACUCAAAGGAAUUGACGGGGGCCCGCACAAGCGGCGGAGCAUGUGGAUUAAUUCGAUGCAACGCGAAGAACCUUACCUGGGUUUGACAUGCACCAGAUCGGCGUAGAGAUACGUCUUCCCUUGUGGUUGGUGCACAGGUGGUGCAUGGUUGUCGUCAGCUCGUGUCGUGAGAUGUUGGGUUAAGUCCCGCAACGAGCGCAACCCUUGUCUUAUGUUGCCAGCACAUUUUUUGGUGGGGACUCAUGAGAAACUGCCGGGGUCAACUCGGAGGAAGGUGGGGAUGACGUCAAAUCAUCAUGCCCUUUAUACCCAGGGCUUCACACAUGCUACAAUGGUCGGUACAACGGGUUGCGACACUGUGAAGUGAAGCUAAUCUCUCAAAGCCGGCCUCAGUUCGGAUUGGGGUCUGCAACUCGACCCCAUGAAGUCGGAGUCGCUAGUAAUCGCAGAUCAGCAACGCUGCGGUGAAUACGUUCCCGGGCCUUGUACACACCGCCCGUCACGUCAUGAAAGUUGGUAACACCCGAAGCCCAUGGCCUAACCACCGUUUGUGGUGGGGG